CACACGCCCGGGAAGCGGCCGCCGCGGAGCCGGCGUCCGCAGCGGCUGCGCAUCUCGGGCCUGCAGCGGGGCGCUUGGCGGGCGGGGGCCGGGGGAGAGCCUGUUUGCGCAGUACCCCCGGAGGGCGGAAGGCCGCCGAGAGAAACAGCAAGUGACAGAGCAGAGGAACGGCUGGCCCAGCCAAUCCUGGAGCUGCUGUUGCAGCACUUGUUCCCCAAACAAGUGCUCCUACAUUCUGGUAGGAGGACAGAGAGGAGGGGGCUACUGGUCCACACCCCUCCCCUGCCGAGGACCCCAUGGCUGCUCCCCUGCAGGAAAGGCAGCUAGGCUGCCUUAGGCCGGAUGGGCAGAGGCUGCCAUGGCCCAGGGUGGUGACGGUUUUGCGGCCCCUCCCUGCUGCCCAGAGUGGGAAGAAGAGCGCAGAGCCUGAGGACUCAGGAGAGUGCAGCUUGCUCUGUGAGUGGGUGACAACCUCUUGGCGACUCAGGCUCAGCUGAGGAUGGUGCCAGUGUGCCGGAGACAGCCGUCAUACUGCCGGAUAGAGUGGCUCACUUGCAUGUAUUUGGAACAAAAAAAGGAGAUGCCUGGCAGCCCCGCUCUCUGCAGUGCUGUUGAGCCACCAAUUUUUGUGGUUUUGUGACCACAAGUGCUGACUGAUGCGACAUGACCCCAGUCUUGUCAGUGAAUCAUCACCAGGCUGCUUACUGGAAACUGGAUGCAGCAAGGAAAUAGGAUUUAACCGCUCUCUGCCUCCCAGGGCUGUCCGUCUCCCAGAUGCUGCUCUUCAGGGCUCCUGGCGCCAGUGCUGAGGUGACAGAGCAAAGGUCUGAAAACUGGCCCCUUCACGCAGCAGUGUCCAAAGCGGGGGGCAUGGCACACCCCCUCUGGCUUCCACAUGGCGGGCACAGGCCACAGGCACAGGAUCUCUGCAGAAACCAGGCAGUGGAACAACGCCAACCCCACACUCUCGGGUGCCUGUGUGUGCCACGUCUCAUCCUGGGCCAUCUCCUCUUGGAUCUGCCAGGCGUGUUGGCGAUGAGGACCCUGCGGCAGUGGUUGGGCUCCACCAGCAAGUGGUAAAGCUGGAACUUCUAAAAGGACAAGUCCGGGAGUGACUGCCCCUGCCGGCUGCAGGAGGGCAGGGUCUUCAAGCUGGCUGGGGUGCCGCGCCUGGCCACCACUUCUUUCAUUCUCAGUAUUGGUUAAUUUGCGUCUUUUUUUGUCAGUCUGGCUACAGGUUUACACACUUUAUUGAUCUCCAAGUAGCAACUGUUGGUUUCACUGAUUUCCUCUAUUUUUUUUUCUUUUCUCAAUUUCAUUGAUUUUGGCUCUAUUUUUAUCAUUUCCUUACAUCUGCUAGUUUGGGAUUUAACUUGCUCUUUUUUAGUUUCUUAAGGUGGAAAAUUAGAUCAUUGAUUUGAGACUUUUCUUUUUUUCUAACACAAGUAUAUUAUGCUAUACAUUCCCCUGUAAGCAAUGCUUUAGCUGCAUCCUACAUAUUUGGAUAUUUUGAGAUGUUGUGUUUUUAUUCAAUUCAAAACACUUUCUAAUCUCCCUGCUGACUACUUCUUUUAUGCAUGGGUUAUUUAGAAGUGUCCUGUACACUUUCCAAUUCUUUGGGGAUUGGCUUUGUUAUUGAUUUCUGCUUUCAUUCUAUUGUGAUAAUGCAUGUUGAAUGAUUUCAAUUUUCUGAAGUUUGUUAAAAGUUGUCUUAUUGUCUAGAAUAUGGUCUACUUUGGAGAAUGUUUCAUGUGUACUUGGGGAGUAUAUACUUUUAAAUCACUGUUAUUCAGUGAUUUCUUUCUUUAAAUGGGCAAGUCCCCUACAUGGUCUUCAUACUUUUGGUCACUCCAGAGUGCCUUAAACAUUUGGUCUUUAAAAAAAAAAUUUUUUUUAUCCAGAGUUUAUCAUUUUUAUUUGUGAGACGAUUAGUCUGUCACAGUUUACCACUACCAUAGCCAGAACUCUUAGAUUUCUUGUAAUACAAGAUGAAACUUUCUUUAAGCCAGUGUGUAUUUUUUUUUUUUGGUUCUUUCAAACAAAAACUUCUAACUCAUGCAGGUACACAGUAGUUCACACUGUAUAAAAUGAAAUGCCAAGAACAUGUAGGGGUGAGAAAUAGGGAACUCUAGCUAGAACUAUUUUUUGACUUGAAUUGACCUGAAUUAAAAUAAAUUAGAAACCAAUUAUACAGGAGGAGGAAGCACAUACACCUGCUUUGUUUAUCUGUAGAUGAAACUAUUUACAAAAUGUUUCCAUAGUAUUUACAAAUGAAGAAGGAAAUAAAUUGAAACACUACCUUUACACUCUGGAGCAGCACGACUCCACACUGAAUUGUCACCACAAUAAAUCGUGCUCUCUCCAAUAAGUGAAAAUGGAUCUGGUCCAGGUGCAGGAUCACAACUAUAAGUUACUGCAUCAAGAUACUCAAAUACUUCUACUUCACUAAAGGUGUGUUUUCCAUUUUUUAUUUUUGGAGGUGGUGUACACAAAACCUCUUAAAAAUGAAGAAAAAGAGGAAAGGAAAUGUAAAAGAUUAAGACAGCAUUAGUAAAAUUUCUGUGUCUUCAAUAAAUUUGUCAAUAUAGGGUUUCUACAAGCUGUUUGUGAAUUCAAUAUGGAUUUAAAAGAAGGUUUCUAUGAGCAAAUAUAUCAUCCCAAAUUCAAACCAUUAAUGUAGUAACUAACUUUCAGAACAAAUCUCAUUUUCUUAAAGUGUAAAUACCUAUUGAUAUGGUUUGGAUCUGUGUCCCCACCAAAUCGCAUGUCAAAUUGUAGUCCACAAUGUUGGAGGUGGGGCCUGGUGGGAGGGGUCUGAAUCAUGGGGGUGGAUUUCUCAUGAAUGGUUUAGCACCGUCCCCUUGGUGCUGUUCUCGUGAUACUGAGUGCUUGGGAGAUCUGGUUAUUUAAAAGUGCGCAACACCUCCCGUCCUCCCCACCUUGCUCCUCCUGCUCCUGCCAUGUGAGACACCUUGCUCUCCUUCUGUCUUUCCCAAUGGUUGUUAAGUUUCCCGAGGCCUACCCAAACCCCCAGCAGAUGCCAGCACCAUGCUUCCUGUACAGCU
ensembl:lncRNA MIR29B2CHG MIR29B2 and MIR29C host gene